GCUCACUGCACGCCACAGUUAGUUCUGUGCAGCUUGCUCCAGCCAUUUACUCUGUGCCCACUCCCUGUCAGGCCCUCGGCUGGGUGAUGGGGACCCAAAGGUAAACAUCAGCAGACGUGAGAAGAAACUUCACAGUUUAAUCUUCACACGAGAACUAGGAGGGAGAAUCCUGGACCACACAGGUACCACACGAGAACUAGGAGGGAGAAUCCUGGACCACACAGGUACCACACGAGAACUAGGAGGGAGAAUCCUGGACCACACAGGUGUCAGAUCUGUAGAUCAGUCUGGAGCCUCUCUCAGUGGACUGGACUCCUACUCCCUCCUUGCAUUCUCUACAGACAAUUCCCCAGCAAAGAACAUAAUGCUCUGCAUUGAGCAGGUAUUCAGUAAAUGUUUGUUAAGUUUAAGUAAAUACACUAUCCAUUGUGCAAUUCUAGAUAUGGAAAAUGCAUAGAAAUGUUCCAGUUGGAGUCUGGCAUUUUGUAAGUUAGGAAAUUAAAGCCCAAAGAAAAUCUCGAGUUUAUGUAGCUAGGAGAGUACCAGAAUCUAAGCAGAAGUAUAACUCCAUCUACGCAGACUUUUGGCCCUUCCUGCUACCAUUUCCCCUUCAUCUUGGGAAUCAUGAGAGUGGCAAAUGGCUUGGCAUGGAUCACAGUGGCUCACUAAGAGGAAGAGUCAGCUGCUGCUUUUCCUGGGACAAACGGCCUGAAGGAGCAGAGGUCAUUGCUGUGUCACAGAGUUGAAAAAACUGACAGGAAGGAGAACAACAAUAAUAAAAUAUUGUAUUUAUUUACUGGACAAGCAGAAGAAAAUAGUGACUUAGUACAUGACCUGGAGCCACAUGGCCUGGUUAAAAUGUAUAGAAGUAAUCUACUUAUUAGCUGUGUGAUCUUGGACAGGUUACUUGGCCUGUAUGUGCCUCAGUUUCUUUAUCUGUAAAAUGAGAAUGGGUGCAUCUCCUCCUGCCUUUGUGAAAAUUAAAUGAGUUACAGAUACAAAGUGCACAGGCAGCACCUGGCAUAGGCAAAGUACUAUAUAGCGGUACUGAUUUGAGCAUUUCAUAGGUUCCAGAGACUAUGCCAGUGUUUAAAAACCAUUAGGUUUAUGAUUAGCAUACGUAUUUCACAUAUUAUUAAAUACUAAAUAAGAUAAGCCAUUGCUACAUUUUAAAACAAGGACACUUGAGAUAUAGAAAGGGUGAGCAACUUAACAAAGAUACUAGUGCCUGUCAGAGGAGGCAUAUAAACCUAGGGCACCUUCCCCCAGAGCCCACAUGUUGACCACUGUGCAAAGGGCUGAAUCUCACUAUUAGCUUGCCUCCUUGUGAAAAAAGAAAAAUGUGCUUUGGAGUUCUUAUUGAAGCAGACACAGAACUCCCUAACCAAAGUCACUGUUUCCUAACCAAGCCUCCUUCAAUUCUCCUGUGGCCCCAGAAGGGUGGUCCUAGAGUGGACCAUAUCAUCCCUAAUCUAGAAGAGUCCAGAUUGGCUAACGAACUGUUCUGGAAAUCAAGAAGUUUAUAAUUACUAUAGGUGGAUCUCAAAAAAGAACUGUUCUGGACUUCCCUGAAAUUAAAUGCCCUUGUAAUAAUCAAAGUCAGGCCAAUCUCUGAGAGCUUUUCUUGAAAAGUCAAGUCUGUCUCUCAAUCAAGAGCAUACAUGUACCAGAGCUUGUACGGAACAGAUGCACAUCAACAUCUACCUGGUGUCUUUUGGGAAAAAGGCCCCAUCCAGAGGUAGAACAGAAGGGCCAUGACUAUUUCACUUAACUGCGAAAUGGCCACAAAAAUCACCUGCUUUGUCUCAGAGACUGCGUCCCAACUGUGUGUAAACUUAAGACUCCAGGAAAUAAUUAUUUCUGUCAGUGUUUGCCAUUUAGAUAAAGCUUCUUGGGAAAUAUGUUGAGAAUCAGACUAUCAACAGAUGUUUAUUAUUGAACUUGUUAUGUACUCAGCACUGGGUUAAACAAACUUUGAAGUUUCCUAUCACAUGUUUGAGGGGAAUUUAAAGCUCUUAAUGGACAUGAUUACAUGUUGUCAAAUAGAAUGUUACAGUAAUGACUGUUCCCUAAUUCUACUUGCUGUCAUUUUUGAAGAUUUGUUAGUAAUAAAGUAAAAGUUUGGUAUGUUAGAAAAGCAAGUAAUUUCUUCUGAACGGUAACAUUAAAUCA
rnacentral:lncRNA from 10 species